CUAACAGGCAUAUUACAUAAAAGAAAACACACAACUUUGAGAGAGAAAAUAAAAUGGGUUCCAAGAUAAUGAAUGCUUUUGUUGUGAUUCUCCUAGCUAUGCUUCUUCUGUCAUCUCUGCAAGCCGUUACUGUGGAAACAUCAGCUACGAAGAGAAGUGGGGUGGAUCCGAGAUCAAAAAAGCCUCCAAGAAUUGAGAAACCUUGUUUGCCACCUACCUGCCAUCUCUGCGUGCCAUGCCCACCCUACAGUCGUCGACACUGUUGCUAGGAAGAAUGAUAUCUUGUUGUGGUGGAUGAUAUCCACACCCUCUCUAUAAUACUACCUCUGUCCCUGAAAAUUUGAUACAUAUUACCAUUUCGGUCCGUCCCUGAAAA